ACUCUCUUCAUCUCCCUCGACACAAAGAGAUUUAGCCUUAUAUGCAUACCUUUUAGAGGUUUUUUGUUACGAUGGGUUACUGCACCGUGUGAGAUACCAUCGCCGGCGAAUACACCCUCAUCCUACCAUAGCGAAAAUCCUAAACCAUUGUUUUCAAGUCAUAGUUAUGUAUUCCGACAUGAUCUGUGUGAGCAGGUACUUCGAGUGCAAGAUGUUGCGGCGAUGAACAAAGAACAGAUUAAGGAACCGACUUCAUUGUCAGUCCCGGGAGCUUUUGCUGCACCGUCCGCGCCUAGGUAUUCACAAUUGGAGUUGCCCUCCAACCCUGCUAAUGGGUCGGAACACAAGAGGGAUUUGAAGGAACCUGGACACCCAAUUACAACCUCGUCUUUGGCUGAAUGCAUCUCCCAAAUUGAAGCUGACAUCGCCGACGUUAGAUUCGUUAUCUGAAACCAAAAGCUUCUAAAUGAGAAGUAUGUGGAACUGGUGAAAGAGAUGAUAAAUCAGCAAGCUGUAUCACCCCAUAUUGGAAUUAACUCUCCAAAAGUAGGGAAGACCACAAUGAUCGAAGGGACCAUUGGAAAAAGUGGAGCAACCUUAAGGACAUACAAGCGAUGAAGCGAAAGAAAAAUGCUACUCCCACAACAACUGGGACCGACCCUAACUCUGACUAUCUCCCAAUUCCGACGCCGCCAUCUAGUUCAAAAGGCAGCACCUUCCACUUGAAGUGCAGAAACAAACAGAGGCAUUCUGGAUCGACCCUUACCCCAAAGGGAGAAACCCCAAAGGGAAGGAGGAAACUAUUUAACUCGGGGAGCAUUUCUGGGGUGGGCCAGAGCAAGGGAGAAAAGACUCACAUCACUAGCAGCUCCAUCCCAGUAGUCCAAUAAGCUGAACAUCAAAACUUCCUGCAGAUUCGUCAUGUUGAUAGGAGCCAGUGGGGGAAGAAGAUUGGGGAAAAUAACCUUAUGCUUAAUAACUGGUGUAUAAACCAUAAUAUUUUGGAUUUUGAGAAUUAUUUAAUAACUACACACGAGAUUCUCCUUACAGGAUAUGUCAUUAACUUUCUUCCCCACGAAGGACAUGAAGAUUGUAGGCCUUGAUCUAUGCGCUGCGGCAUACAUAUUCAACACGAAACUUGACCAAGAGUAAGUCUCACCACUGAUUGUAGUAGUUUUCAGUGGCAUAAUAUACUGAAUAGAUAAGUUGAAAUGUCAGUUUUGUGUGCAUUGUUUGUCACAGUUGGUUCCACUGCUAUAGCAGCAACAUUUUUCAUUCCAAUUUUCAUACUAAUGCAUGUUUUGUUGGAGACAUCUGUUAUAAAUGAUAUGCGUUUUUCGUUAAGAAGAAUAGUCACCCACAUUCUUGAGCUCAUGUUAUAACUAAUUCGAAGUAAAUCAUGCUUGCUAAUAUUGAACACCGUAGCAAGCUUCUUGUUCGAACCCCGCACUGUACUAUUACCAGGGGUUCUCUCAGAACUCUGGAGCCAAGGAAGUCCGCGGUCAACGACGUGAGUACAAAAUCAGUAAAAAAGCCAUAUGCUGAUUCUGCUUGCCUGCAUGCUGGAUGAAAACUCCACUAGGAUUCAUUGGUUCUUGCCGACAACCUUCUCACAAAUUGCCACCGGAAGGGGACCAAUUCCGCAUGCGACACUAAAGGCCAUCUGGGAGGAUUUUAUGGGCAAAGCCAAUCGGGUAUGCAAGAUUUAUUGUCCCAUUUGGUGCAUGGACAUUGGUUUCUGCUUGUGAUUGAUGUCAUUCGUAGACAGUUUGUGUGCCUAGACUCCCAAGCCUCAGAAGAUGAUAGACCCAAGCGGCUUCAGCAGCUUAAAAAAGUGGCCAUCUUCAUGGAAGAGGCACAAGACAGUGAUGAUUGGCAUGAUGACCCGACAAAUCCUAGGAUUCUGUGCAGUGACUACGAGAUAAUAGAGCCUAAGGACAGCAGGCAGGACCCCAGAAGGUACCCCUACACUCCAUCUACUUCUGCUGGGGCUAACUCAUGGUUAUGAUCCGCAAAGAAAGACUUCAUAUCUUCCACUUUCCACACCUCUUGUCUAGAUGAACCACAAACCUAGCAUUACAAUUGGUUAUUGUAAUUGGUUUCUGUGCCCGCUGUCUAUCAGUCCUCUCAUAAUGUUUCUUAUCGCGCAAUCCUUCUCUAUUGCUGAAGAAAAAUUUUCUCACAACAUUACCUUCAUUAUCUUUUCCUGAAUCUCCCUUUCGAACCGCAAACCCGGUAACCCGUGCAUAUUCCACAUACCCUGCAUAUGCCUCCUCAACCGAAUCGAACUCAGCAAUAGCCAAAUCUUCUGUUGUUACCCCUGCCUCGCAGGGAUUGGAACAAUUUGGUUCUUCAACUGAUCUCACCGUCACCGGACUAGAUCCUUAAUCUUUUGCAUCAUCUGCUACCUUACUACUUUCCUCACUAUCCAACAAUGUCAUGUUGACUUCUUCUGGUUGUCCCGACUUAAGCCCUAGUGUCUCACAUUCGUCAGUCUUCGAUUCCAUGUUCCAUCCGUCACUCUACUGCUCAGAGAACUCUGAGCUACUUUCCAAAUCACUGUCCAUCUCACGCCACCAAAUACCUGAAUAGGCAAAGAAUUUGUCAGCUGGCAAGUCAGACAAAAAUAGCAUGGUAACUAGGCAUAAAAUAUACAUCUCGAAAACCUUUAAUUAGUAUCCAAAAGAACCAACAAAAGGAUCUACUUAUACUGUGUUUGGAACACCUUGAGAAUAGCUAUCCAUCAAGAAAAAAAAUUCUUUUAUUUGGUUUGGAGUACAAGAAAAAUAUCAUUUUCAAAUCUCAAGUGAAUUUCAAUUCUCACUUAAUGUUCAAACUAAAUCAGACCAAAAAUUGUCUGAUUGCAAGUUUAUUAUUACUAAAUAUUGAAAUGUCAAAAUUAUUCUUAAUAAACAAAUAAAGAAAAGACAAAUAGAUAACCACAA